UUUCCGUAGGUGAACCUGCGGAAGGAUCAUUAAUAAAUGGCUCCUGAUUUGGAGCGCUUAAUAAUCCUACCCUUUGUGAAUUUGUUGUAUGAAAUAAUUUUUUUUAAAAUUAUUGAUUGUCUUUCCCUGUUGAAUUGGAGCGUUUUCGGACGCAAAAAUUCGCAGGGAUAGUCAGUAAUCUUUAAAAAGACCUUUUUUAAAAUUAAACCUUUUGUAUUCAUUUGUCUAAAAUUAUUUUUAUAAUAUAAAAACAACUUUUGACAAUGGAUCUCUUGGUUCUCGCAACGAUGAAGAACGCAACAAAAUGCGAUAAGUAGUGUGAAUUGCAGAAUACGUGAAUCAUCGAAUCUUCGAACGCAUAUUGCACUUUUUUAGUUUACUAAAAAAGUAUGUCUGUUUGAGUAUCAGUAAAAUAUUCUCAUAAAAACUAUUGUUUUUAUGGUUAUGAGUGUUUUACAACGAUACAAGUUGUUUCACUUUAAAUUUUUUUAAAAUAGAUUUUUUCUAAUUUUAAAAUAAAAUUGGAUAAAAUUUUCCCGUAAAAAGGAAUAACCUAAACAAUUUUAAUUUUUUAUUAGAAAAAAUCAUUUAAAGGAAAAAUUUAACAAAAUAACUUGAUCUCAAAUCAGAUAAGAGUACCCGCUGAACUUAAGCAUAUCAAUAAGCGGAGGAAAAGAAACUAACAAGGAUUCCCUUAGUAACGGCGAGUGAAGCGGGAAGAGCACAAAUUUGAAAUCUUCAAGGUUUUACCUUGACGAAUUGUAGUUUAAAGAAGUGUUUUCUGUUGAAGUUUUGGUAAAAGUUCUUUGGAAUAGGACAUCAUAGAGGGUGAGAAUCCCGUAUUUGACCAUUAUUUUCAGCUGUGUGAUACACUUUCAAAGAGUCGGAUUGUUUGGGAAUGCAGUCCAAAAUGGGUGGUAAAUUUCAUCUAAAGCUAAAUAUUGGCGAGAGACCGAUAGCGAACAAGUACCGUGAGGGAAAGAUGAAAAGAACUUUGAAAAGAGAGUUAAACAGUACGUGAAAUUGUCAAAAGGGAAGCGUUUGACACCAGUGUUGUUUCCUCGAAAAUCAAUUAAAAAUGGCUGGAUUUUGUGUUGUAUUGACCUUAACAGCUUUCUUCACUCUUUCCUGUCUUUUUAAUGCACUUUUCGUUUAACAAGUCAACAUCAGUUUCUUUUGUUGUAAAAGGGUCAUUGGAAGGUGGCUUUCUUUUCGGAGAAAGUGUUUAUAGCCUUUGAUCUCUGCAAUCGGAGAGACUGAGGUCUGCAGCGUAGACUCUUCGGGGUUAGAUACAUUUGUGCUAAGUUAUAGCUUUUUAUAGACAACUUGUUGACUAUAUUUAGUCUUGUAGCUUACUCGCUUAUGCUAUUUUACCUACGCUUAGGAUGUUGAA
rnacentral:misc_RNA from 1 species